AUCUAUGGCAUGCCACAUUGAAUAAGCCUGAUCCCAUCUGAUCUCAGAAGCUAAUCAUGUGUGUCGGGCCUGGUUAGUACCUGGAUGGGAGACCACCUAGGAAGAUCAGGUGCUGUAAGUG
rnacentral:rRNA from 1 species